CACAUGAAAGAACAUUUUCCUGAAGCAGACACAGCUUUGGCAAACAUGUGAAAGGACGUGAAGGAGUAUAAAUAUGAGCCCACACACAGUGGGAGAUGGAGCAUUGGUUUGGUUUGCGCCGACAUUCUGUUCUUCACUAACAACUGACAUGUAUUCGUUUGCCCUACAUAGCAUUGUUGAGGUCCACUUGUGGUAAUGACGCCAGUGAAAGAAACUUGCCAAAGAACUGCUCGUGGCAUUCCGGUGGCAGCUUGCCACUUCUACAACCUCACCUCAGGCCAGUUAGUGAACCUUGCGGGUUCUUCAGGAUUACACUACAGCUUCUGGUUUCUAUUUGGUGUUUGCUAUGGAACUGAACUGCUGACAAAGAGGAUCAAGCUUGCUCCCAAACAGACCACUUUGGUCUCUCCAGCUGUGCAACCACCUGGAUCUCCCCAGCUGUGCAACCACCUGGAUCUCUCCAGCUGUGCAACCACCUGGGUCUCUCCAGCUGUGCACAGCUUUGCUUAAGGACCUCUGACUACCAUCUCCGAGCUCUACCAGGUACAUUCAGAACAUAUAGCUGCCAAAACAUCCCAGUUGGAAUUUCUCAGGACAGCUGGAGAUUAUUUGGACCUAGCUAGAACAAUCUAGAAAGUUCUGGAACAAGCCACAGCCAACAAGGAACAGGUCCACUGGCAAGUUGCUGGCAUAAAAGACAUGUGCUAGUGAUCCUAUUACUCUGAAGACAGAAGGAUAAGGAUCAACAGUUCCAGACCUGCCUUUGCUAUGUGGUUCACAGGCCUCAGCAGAGACAUCAGAGACUGCUGACUAGCUAGUCCCUAAGACAGAUAGUCACUCUGCAUCCACACCAGAUUCCGAGUUCUGAAAUCACUUUGACGGUACAAGGCCUGUGGGUGCACCAGAGAACCCGACAACCUGCCAAAAUCCUCCGGGCUUCCGCAGAGCAGCCCAGAGGCUCCAAGGAAUGACAUCAUCUCUUCUCAACAAGUAGCUAGAGCAAGAAGAUGAUACUCUGAGCCCUGCCCUUGGGAAGCUUCCAGAGGAGCAACACCCAGGAGCAAAGAGGACCCAGGUACAAAGGCCAGGCUACCACACAGCACAGUGGAGAUGACAUCCACAGCAGUGAGAAUGGUGGUCCCCGUUCAGCCUCCGAGCUAAGCCGUUUAAUCCUUGAGGCUGUGGAGUAGGCAGGGUACUAGCUUCAGAGAUCUAACACCACUCAUCCCCAGUGGUGGGCAAGAAUCCAAACAGAGAUCCACCAGUGCGCAUGCACUUGCCCUUUCGUCCACCCUAAGUUCUUGGUAGGGGCUUGUCACUUCCCUUUCAGAAAAGCCUUGAGGGAUCCCCACUACCAAUAACAUAGCCCUUCCCAGUGAGGCUCCCCUCAAACCACAGCCGAGGAAGCAACCACUGUCUUCCACCCACACCGGCCACAUCUUAGGUUUCACCCUGGAGUUUCCCAAGUCUCCUCUGUGCUCCGAAUGAACCGCAUGCCCCAUUUUACAGAUAAGAAACCAGAGGGUUAAGAAUGUUAAGUAACUAGCCCAAGGUCACACAGCUGGGAAACAAAUGAGCCUGGCUAGAACCCGGGUCAUUAGCAUGCCCAUUUGUGUUCCAGGCAAUUAGGGAAGGGGAAUUAACGACCCGUGCUGCUAAUGGUCCCAGGGAGAAAGGUUCCAGAGUUGACUAAGGCACCUGGGCCUUGAGAAAUGGAUGGGUCUGCACAGUCAGAGCAGGAAGAGUGAGAAGAAUAUGGAAAGUGCCGAAAGGGAGUUAGUGGUGGGCUUGUCCAAACUAGGCAGACAUUGGGACACGGUAAGAGAAGCCAUAGAAUGGGAGUCACUCCGUGUGUCCCCCUAACUUGUUGCACAACAUUAAGUGAGCCCCUUCCCUCUUUUGACGACUUUUCUAUAUAUAAAAGACUAAUUAAGCCUGGGUGGCUUCUUGGGUCCCAUCUGACCCUGACAUCCUGGGUUGCCACUGAGCCAAGAAAUGAAGACUCUGAGAGCCGAUGCUUCAGCAUGGCAGGGGACAGGAUAGCAUUGGCUGGCAGAGGCCCGGCUAAUACGGCAUCUAAAUGGAAACUGAGGGCGGAGCCCAGGCACGCACAGCAGUGGCCCCAGCAACCCUCUUCACCAUCUUAGGAACAUGUGUGAACUCACUAAGGAGUUCCAGCCUGUAGCUGCUGGACCCUGAAGGUAAGAAGUCCGAACAGGAUGUGGGCUCACAGAGAGGAAAUGAACCAUGCCCACCACUACCUAACAUCUGUGAUACCUGGUCACCCUCAGGAAAAGGAGAGAGUCCUCGGACAAGGCUCAGAGAAAAUAAUCCCUAGAAGGAUGGAGACUCCAGAACAGAAGCAAGUGGUCUGCAAAUUGGAAUGUAUUUGAAGAUCAAGUUAGUCCCCAAUCGAAACUGUGUGUGGCACCUACUUUUAAAGAGAUUCCAAACCAUCCACAAAGGGCAACUGUCCCAAAGGCUGUACACUCAGAGCCACCAGGGCAGAAAAAUCUCUUAACUACAGACAGUGGACAUGCAUGUGUGUGCAGACACACAGACAGACUGCUACUCAGAACUCCAACAAAGCCCAUCUUGGGUCACUCAUUUCUUCUAAGCCCAGCCUUUCAAACAGCCUCCAUUUGACACUGCCACCUGGGAAGUCAGACUUGCUGUCUUGCCUUGGCCCAUCUUGCUGCUUUUCCUUUCAGACUCAAGAGGUGCCUGAUGGAAACAGUCCACCUACUCCACGUGGCUACUUCCACCUCUUGGAAGGCAAAUGUAGCCCUUCUCUCUUCCACCUAUUUAGCCUCUUGCUUUCCUGUCUCCUUCACCACAGAAAGUGAACUGAAUGAAGGUAGGAGCCCUGUGGUCUGUUCCUGAUGUUAGCCCCUCUGCCCCUUACCCCACCACCACCACCCAUCCUAUCUGUCCAGUAGGAAAUCCUUUCUGUAGUUUAGUCUUAGGGCCUCACACCAUCUAUCUAGAGUCUGAGGUGAUGGAGGCUUAGUUAGCUAGUUGGAAGAGUUGCCUCCUUACAGGGGAGAAGGCCAGAAGGGAGAUUACUAAGGCGCCGGGCCCAGGGCUGUGACAUGCACCUGCCACAGCUCCAGGGAGAUGAGGGACCUGCCAACUUACCCCACCCCAUGAGCUCAUGGUUACAUCUGCCAGGCGCUGGCCCGGGGGAGCAGGUGCUGACAACAGAGCCUGGGCACAGGGCCGAGGACGGGAAGGCGGGAAAACUGCUGAGGGCCAACAGCAAAACCAGCCUACAAGACUCUGAUGCAGCGGCCCUCUGGCCUCCACGUGUGACCUCUGACCACGUGUGACCUCUGGCCACCUCCGACCCACCAUCUCUGUUCCUCCUCAGGCCCCUGACUCUGGGCACAGCCUCUUUCUCAUAGUCCUCUGUCUGGAAAUCAAGGACGGGAGGAGGGCAGGUCACUCCACUUUCCCAGUGAUAUUCUCCCUACUGUUGUCUCCCCAGGGACUCUGGACAGUUGCCCUGUGUUAAGAGUUUGCUGGGCAGGAGAUGGUCGACAAAUGCUGUCAUUUCUGAGGUUGUUGUAGGCACACACCUAAACGCCAGUUAUAAAGUGACUAUAAAUCCCCAAAUAGAUGCUUCUGUCCU